UACGUAGGGGGCUAGCGUUGUCCGGAUUUAUUGGGCGUAAAGAGCGUGUAGGCGGCCAGGUAGGUCUGGUGUGAAAACUCGAGGCUUAACCUCGAGAUGUCAUCGGAAACCAUCUGGCUAGAGUCCGGAAGAGGAGAGUGGAAUUCCUGGUGUAGCGGUGAAAUGCGUAGAUAUCUGCAGGAACACCCGUGGCGAAAGCGGCGCGCUGGACCACUACUGACGCUGAGGAACGAAAGCCAGGGGAGCAAACGGG
rnacentral:rRNA from 1 species